rnacentral:rRNA from 1 species
UACGUAGGGACCAAGCGUUGUUCGGAUUUACUGGGCGUAAAGGGCGCGUAGGCGGCUUAACAAGUCACUUGUGAAAUCUCCGGGCUUAACUCGGAACGGCCAAGUGAAACUGUCAAGCUAGAGUGCAGAAGGGGCAAUCGGAAUUCUUGGUGUAGCGGUGAAAUGCGUAGAUAUCAAGAGGAACACCUGAGGUGAAGACGGGUUGCUGGGCUGACACUGACGCUGAGGCGCGAAAAGCGUGGGGGAGCGAACAGG